UACGGAGGAUCCGAGCGUUAUCCGGAUUUAUUGGGUUUAAAGGGUGCGCAGGCGGGGGAUUAAGUCGGCGGUGAAAUUUUGCAGCUCAACUGUAAAAGUGCCUUCGAAACUGGUUUCCUUGAGUGUAGAUGAAGUAGGCGGAAUUUGUGGUGUAGCGGUGAAAUGCAUAGAUAUCACGAGGAACUCCGAUUGCGCAGGCAGCUUACUAAACCAUAACUGACGCUCAGGCACGAAGGCGUGGGGAUCAAACAGGAUUAGAUACCCGGGUAGUCCCUGA
rnacentral:rRNA from 1 species